rnacentral:rRNA from 1 species
GACGAACGCUGGCGGCGUGCUUAACACAUGCAAGUCGAACGGAAAGGCCCUGCUUUUGUGGGGUGCUCGAGUGGCGAACGGGUGAGUAACACGUGAGUAACCUGCCCUUGCCUUUGGGUUAACUUCAGGAAACUGGGGCUAAUACCGGAUAGAAGCUCUUCCUCCAUGGGGGGGGUUGGAAAGUUUCGGCGGUUGGGGAUGGACUCGCGGCUUAUCAGCUUGUUGGUGGGGUAGUGGCUUACCAAGGCUUUGACGGGUAGCCGGCCUGAGAGGGUGACCGGCCACAUUGGGACUGAGAUACGGCCCAGACUCCUACGGGAGGCAGCAGUGGGGAAUAUUGCACAAUGGGCGGAAGCCUGAUGCAGCAACGCCGCGUGCGGGAUGACGGCCUUCGGGUUGUAAACCGCUUUCGCCUGUGACGAAGCGUGAGUGACGGUAAUGGGUAAAGAAGCACCGGCUAACUACGUG